UACGAAGGUGGCAAGCGUUGUUCGGAUUUACUGGGCGUACAGGGAGCGUAGGCGGGUGGGUAAGCCCUCCGUGAAAUCUCCGGGCCCAACCCGGAAAGUGCGGAGGGGACUGCUCGGCUAGAGGAUGGGAGAGGAGCGCGGAAUUUCCGGUGUAGCGGUGAAAUGCGUAGAGAUCGGGAGGAAGGCCGGUGGCGAAGGCGGCGCUCUGGAACAUUUCUGACGCUGAGGCUCGAAAGCGUGGGGAGCAAACAGG
rnacentral:rRNA from 1 species